rnacentral:lncRNA from 1 species
GGUCCCUGGCAUAUAUUGCACAAAAAAAUGGUUGUAAACGGGAAAAGAAAAAGAACAGAUGUAGCAGUAGAUGUGUAGAUGUGUUCAGUCCAGAAACAGGUCACUGUCAAUGUUGCCUCUGCCCAGACGCAAGGUGGAUGCGUUGUACAGUCUAAUGGCAGAAGGCAAGAAUGACCUCCUGUAGCGCUCCCUGUCCCACCGUGGAUGGAUCAGUCUAUUGCUGAACGUGCUCUUCAUUUCUACAAGCCUGUCAUAGAGGGGAUGGGAGACGUUGUCCAUGAUGGCCUCUAGUUUGGACACCAUUCUCCUCUCAGCCACUACCUCCAGGGGGUCCAGGUCAGACCCAAUGACAGAGCUUGCUCUCCUGAUGAGCUUGUUCAGCCUGUUAGCAUCCCCUGCUCUAAUCCCAGAGCCCCAGCAUACCACUGCGUAGAAAAUAGCACUCGCUACCACUGACUGAUAGAACAUAUGUACCAUCUUACUACACACAUUGAGUUGUACCAAAAGUCUGAAGUAUAGAGGGUGAAAAGGGUGAAAAGCAUCUUACUACAUACAUUGAAGGACCUGAGCCUCCUCAAGAAGUAAAGUGUUGAAUGUGAAAUUGAAAGCUGAUGUCUUUAUUGUAAUUGAUUAUUUAAUAAAUGGCGUGAAGACAGUUGUGGAGAAGGUUCCGUCCCGUAGGUAGGACAGAACAGCCGAGUCCGGCUGCAGGCUGUGCGCUCGCAGGCCCCCUGGUGACUGACUUGUCUCCACCAGAUCCGGAGCCUGCUUGUGGACAACGCCAGCCUGGCCCUGCAGACUGACAGCGCGCACAGCGAGGCAGCCCGCCUCAGAGCCAGGUGUGCCGCGGAGGAGAGCAGGACCAGGCAUCUGGAGAACCGCGUGGCGUGGCUGAAGGGGGUGUGGCAGGAGGCGGAGCUCCAGAAGGCGGGGCUAGAAGAGGAAGUGCAGGGGCGCCUGGCUGACCUGGAUCAUCUGCAUCACAGCCACCAGCAGGUCCGUGUGUCUCUGCGGAGGGUGUCUGUGAGUGUGUCUCUGCGGUGUGUCACUGCAGAGUGUGUCUCUGCGGAGUGCAUCACUGCAGAGUGUGUCUGUGAGUGUUUGUCUGUGGAUUGUGUCUGUGAGUGUUUGUCUGUGGAUUGUGUCUGUGAGUGUCUGUGGAGUGUCUGUGAGUGUCUCUGUGUGUCUCUGUGUGUCUGUGAGUGUUUGUCUGUGGAGUGUGUCUGUGAGUGUUUGUCUGUGGAUUGUGUCUGUGAGUGUCUGUGGAGUGUCUGUGAGUGUUUGUCUGUGGAUUGUGUCUGUGAGUGUCUCUGUGUGUCUGUGGAGUGCGCCUGUGAGUGUUUGUCUGUGGAUUGUGUCUGUGAGUCUGUCUCUGUGUCUCUGUGGAGUGUCACUGUGGAAUGUGUCACUGUGGACUGUGUGAGUGUUUGUCUGUGGAUUGUGUCUGUGUGUCUGUGGA